rnacentral:rRNA from 1 species
AUGAAUGCUAGCGACAGGCCUAACACAUGCAAGUCGAGGGGCAGCACAAGGAGCAAUCUGAGGUGGCGACCGGCGCACGGGUGAGUAACACGUAUGCAACCUGCCUGUAAGCGGGGAAUAACCCGUUGAAAGACGGACUAAUACCGCAUAAUACUAAAUUACUGCAUGGUAAUUUAUUUAAACAUUUAUGGCUUACAGAUGGGCAUGCGCAUGAUUAGCUAGUUGGAGAGGUAACGGCUCCCCAAGGCAACGAUCAUUAGGGGUUCUGAGAGGAAGGUCCCCCACACUGGUACUGAGACACGGACCAGACUCCUACGGGAGGCAGCAGUGAGGAAUAUUGGUCAAUGGACGAGAGUCUGAACCAGCCAAGUCGCGUGCAGGAAGAAUGUUCCCUAUGGAUUGUAAACUGCUUUUGCAGGGGAAUAAAGUGCAUCACGUGUGAUGUUUUGUAUGUACUCUGCGAAUAAGGAUCGGCUAACUCCGUGCCAGCCGCCGC